AACGCGAAGAACCUUACCUGGCCUUGACAUGCAUUGUGUCGUCGGUGAAAGCCGGCUAGCGUAGCAAUACGCGCUUUGCACAGGUGCUGCAUGGCUGUCGUCAGCUCGUGUCGUGAGAUGUUGGGUUAAGUCCCGCAACGAGCGCAACCCUUAUCCCUAGUUGCCAUCGGGUCAAGCCGGGCACUCUAGUGAAACCGCCUGGGAUAACCAGGAGGAAGGUGGGGAUGACGUCAAGUCCUCAUGGCCUUUAUGUCCAGGGCUACACACGUGCUACAAUGGUCGGUACAAACCGUCGCAAACUCGCGAGAGGGAGCUAAUCGGAAAAAGCCGGCCUCAGUUCGGAUUGGAGUCUGCAACCCGACUCCAUGAAGCUGGAAUCGCUAGUAAUCGCGGAUCAGAACGCCGCGGUGAAUACGUUCCCGGGCCUUGUACACACCGAGACGUA
rnacentral:rRNA from 1 species